GUUGUUGGGUAGGGGAGCGUUCUGUAAGCCUGUGAAGGUGUGUCGUGAGGGUUGCUGGAGGUAUCAGAAGUGCGAAUGCUGACAUAAGUAACGAUAAAGCGGGUGAAAAGCCCGCUCGCCGGAAGACCAAGGGUUCCUGUCCAACGUUAAUCGGGGCAGGGUGAGUCGACCCCUAAGGCGAGGCCGAAAGGCGUAGUCGAUGGGAAACGGGUUAAUAUUCCCGUACUUGGUGUUACUGCGAAGGGGGGACGGAGAAGGCUAUGUUGGCCGGGCGACGGUUGUCCCGGUUUAAGCGUGUAGGUGUGUGUUCCAGGUAAAUCCGGUUCACUUUAACACUGAGGCGUGACGACGAGGCACUACGGUGCUGAAGCAACAAAUGCCCUGCUUCCAGGAAAAGCCUCUAAGCAUCAGGUAACAUCAAAUCGUACCCCAAACCGACACAGGUGGUCAGGUAGAGAAUACCAAGGCGCUUGAGAGAACUCGGGUGAAGGAACUAGGCAAAAUGGUGCCGUAACUUCGGGAGAAGGCACGCUGACAUGUAGGUGAAGUGAUUUACUCAUGGAGCUGAAGUCAGUCGAAGAUACCAGCUGGCUGCAACUGUUUAUUAAAAACACAGCACUGUGCAAACACGAAAGUGGACGUAUACGGUGUGACGCCUGCCCGGUGCCGGAAGGUUAAUUGAUGGGGUCAGCGCAAGCGAAGCUCCUGAUCGAAGCCCCGGUAAACGGCGGCCGUAACUAUAACGGUCCUAAGGUAGCGAAAUUCCUUGUCGGGUAAGUUCCGACCUGCACGAAUGGCGUAAUGAUGGCCAGGCUGUCUCCACCCGAGACUCAGUGAAAUUGAACUCGCUGUGAAGAUGCAGUGUACCCGCGGCAAGACGGAAAGACCCCGUGAACCUUUACUAUAGCUUGACACUGAACAUUGAGCCUUGAUGUGUAGGAUAGGUGGGAGGCUUUGAAGUGUGGACGCCAGUCUGCAUGGAGCCGACCUUGAAAUACCACCCUUUAAUGUUUGAUGUUCUAACGUGGACCCGUUAUCCGGGUUGCGGACAGUGUCUGGUGGGUAGUUUGACUGGGGCGGUCUCCUCCUAAAGAGUAACGGAGGAGCACGAAGGUUGGCUAAUCCUGGUCGGACAUCAGGAGGUUAGUGCAAUGGCAUAAGCCAGCUUGACUGCGAGCGUGACGGCGCGAGCAGGUGCGAAAGCAGGUCAUAGUGAUCCGGUGGUUCUGAAUGGAAGGGCCAUCGCUCAACGGAUAAAAGGUACUCCGGGGAUAACAGGCUGAUACCGCCCAAGAGUUCAUAUCGACGGCGGUGUUUGGCACCUCGAUGUCGGCUCAUCACAUCCUGGGGCUGAAGUAGGUCCCAAGGGUAUGGCUGUUCGCCAUUUAAAGUGGUACGCGAGCUGGGUUUAGAACGUCGUGAGACAGUUCGGUCCCUAUCUGCCGUGGGCGCUGGAGAACUGAGGGGGGCUGCUCCUAGUACGAGAGGACCGGAGUGGACGCAUCACUGGUGUUCGGGUUGUCAUGCCAAUGGCACUGCCCGGUAGCUAAAUGCGGAAGAGAUAAGUGCUGAAAGCAUCUAAGCACGAAACUUGCCCCGAGAUGAGUUCUCCCUGAGACUUAGAGUCUCCUGAAGGAACGUUGAAGACGACGACGUUGAUAGGCCGGGUGUGUAAGCGCAGCGAUGCGUUGAGCUAACCGGUACUAAUGAACCGUGAGGCUUAACCUUACAACGCCGAAG
rnacentral:rRNA from 1 species